AUUGAACGCUGGCGGCAGGCCUAACACAUGCAAGUCGAACGAGUGGCGGACGGGUGAGUAAUGUCUGGGAAACUGCCUGAUGGAGGGGGAUAACUACUGGAAACGGUAGCUAAUACCGCAUACCAUCAGAUGUGCCCAGAUGGGAUUAGCUUGUUGGUGGGGUAACGGCGCACUAAGGCGACGAUCCCUAGCUGGUCUGAGGGGAUGACCAGACACACUGUAACUGAGACACGGUCCAGAGUCCUACGUGAGGCAGCAUAGGGGAAUAUUGCACAAUGGGCGCAAGCCUGAUGCAGCCAUGCCGCGUGUAUGAAGAAGGCCUUCGGGUUGUAAAGUACUUUCAGCGAGGAGGCGUUACCCGCAGAAGAAGCACCGGCUAACUCCGUGCCAGCAGCCGCGGUAAUUC
rnacentral:rRNA from 1 species